AUUGAACGCUAGCGGCAUGCCUAACACAUGCAAGUCGAACGGCAGCGGGGGGAGCUUGCUCCCUGACGGCGAGUGGCGGACGGGUGAGUAACACGUAGGAAUCUACCUCAUUAUAGUGGGGGAUAACCCGGGGAAACUCGGGCUAAUACCGCAUAAUCUCUUCAAAGCAAAGCGGGGGAUCUUCGGACCUCGUGCUAUGAGAUGAGCCUGCGUCGGAUUAGCUAGUUGGUAGGGUAAUGGCCUACCAAGGCGACGAUCCGUAGCUGGUCUGAGAGGACGAUCAGCCACACUGGGACUGAGACACGGCCCAGACUCUACGGGAGGCAGCAGUGGGGAAUAUUGGACAAUGGGGGGAACCCUGAUCCAGCAAUGCCGCGUGUGUGAAGAAGGCUUCGGGUUGUAAAGCACUUUCAGUGGGGAAGAAAUUCUCAAGUCUAAUACCCUUGAGCGUUGACGUUACCCACAGAAGAAGCACUGGCUAACUCUGUGCCAGCAGCCGCGGUAAUACAGAGAGUGCAAGCGUUAAUCGGAAUCACUGGGCGUAAAGCGCGCGUAGGUGGAUAUUUAAGUCGGAUGUGAAGGCCCUAGGCUUAACCUGGGAAUUACAUCCGAUACUAGGUAUCUCGAGUAUGAUAGAGGGAAGUGGAAUUUCCGGUGUAGCGGUGAAAUGCGUAGAUAUCGGAAAGAACAUCAGUGGCGA
rnacentral:rRNA from 2 species